rnacentral:tRNA from 1 species
AGGGUUGUAGUUACUGAUAAUAUUUGAUUUGCAAUCAAAAGGUGCCUCUAGGGCCUACCUU